CCCCAAAAACACUAGGAAAUUAGGGAAACAAAUAUUCUUCAUGUCUCUGGAAAUAUUUUUCAAAUAGCUCUUAUCAUCACCUGUGAGAUUCUUUUCUCUUGAUUUUACAAAGGAGAAUGCAUAGCACUCAGACAAGUAUACACAAGUCUUAUGUGUUUUUCUCCUACACUCUUUUUCCCCCACAGAGGCUAGCUAUAAAUAGGCACCUAAGAAUUUCACCCUACAGUCUGGCAAAUCCAUUCUAUGUUAUUUCAUUUCCAGAAAGAAUUGUGCCUAAGUUGUUAUGAAUGGGCAAAGGUAUUCCCUGGACUGAUUUUAUCAGAAGUUAUAGAAGCAAACAUUUCAUUUCCCAGUUUUCUGAAUUUGAGUCAUAAUGGUAGGACUGUCACCAAGACAACAGAGACCUAUGCAGUGAACCUGAGAGAGAUGGUAAACAUCCUUCCAGAAGACCCACAUUCAGAAAGCACUUCGCUGAAGCUUUUGGACAAAAUAGGAAAUUCUCAGAAACCACUUGAAAAGAUGGUGGCACAAUGACCACAGACACUGUGACAUAAAAUAGAUGAUUACCCCCAAAGAAAGCCAAAGAUAAUGAAAAGACGUGUAACCUGAGAAUACUAGGAAAGAACGGAGGAGUCAUCAGGCAGAAGAUGGUACAGACGUGGAAUAUGUGAAUACAAGGCUUCAAAAAAAACACUGGAGAAAAAUUACAGGCUCAUCUUCAUUUGAGACCAGAAACAGGGUUCGCAUUUGCUACACUGAUCCUUUAGAAACCUAACUGAGAAACCAUGAUCACACAAUUUUGGGGGCUGUAAGAAUUACUUCAAGCAGGAGAUAAUAAUUCACCUGGAUUGCACACAGAGAGACGCGUAAGUAAAGAGCCUUUUGACUUAGAGAUAACAAACACCAAAGUGUAGAAAACUGCAAAUAUAUAAUACACUGUGGCUUAAAUAUGAGAUGUAUAGAAGAAUAUGUUAGAAGACAAAAUCAUAGAUGACAUAAACAACGUAUCACCAGGAAAUGGGUUACAACUGGAAAGUUUUUUUUACAAAGUAAGUGACACGAGGAAUCUCUAUUUUUCAAGACUCUGUUACAGUUGUGUUGAUGUUAAUAGAAGCAGAUGUGUUCAAGCAAGGAAUAACAGAGCAAGAACCUUGAUGCUGCAGUAAUUAAGGUGAUGACAAUGAUGACGGUGAUGACGGUGGUGAUAGUACUGGUGAUGGUGACAGUGAUGGUGAUGCCGGAGUUAGAGAUGUUAGGAACCUGCAAAGCAGUGACUACUUAUAGAGUUCUUUGUAUGUACCAAGAACUUGCUAACAUAUAAUGUCAAUUACCUCUGAUCUUAAUAGCAAAUCUUUGAGGACAAUUUAUCUCCCAUAGAUGAAUAAGUGAGCCUUGUAAGAAUUAAAUAGCUCUCCUAAGGUCACAUACUAUCAGAGGCCAGACAGGAAGGCAGGUCUGUAAGGCUUCACAGCCCACACACUUAGACUUUCACCACAGUGCUUUCCCUUAGUCACGGGAGGGGGACACACACUGUAGAAACCAAGAGGAUGUAAGGAGGAGUUUCCAAUCAGAGCUUCAAGUAGAAUCGAGCAACAAGUAGUAUAAAUACUGUAAACAAACACAAACCCAGUAAUUUCAGAGGGCAGUGGUGACGUUAGAGAACAGGUAGUGACCAUGGAAGCCAGACUGUAAGGACGGAAAGGCUGGUGGAAGCCUCCUGGAGUUUUCAGGGAGAUAAGGUGUUAUUUGAAGGAGGAAAGCAAGAUUAAAAGAAAGUUAUUUUAAAAAUUUUUCUGUUUUGCUUAUUACAGUAGGAAAGUCUCAACGAUCUUCAGGGCUUCCAGCAAAUGAGCUGUCAAAGGUGAGAAGGAAAUUUCAGGAGCAUUCGGGAGAUGAGGGGCACAGCCCUGGAGAAAUGAAACUGUGUGAUUAAAGGAACUGGUGGGUAAGACGGCUGAAGCCACAGAUUUAGAAGCUAAGGCAUUUUAUUUUCAAAUCACUGGUCAGGUAGAGAAUGAAUCUUAGACUAAGAAUGAGUCAGGCCGAUGGGGUGGAGAGAAGGGAGCUGCCUGGACUCACACUCUCACUUCAGAGGUUCUGCUCAGCAAAAAGGCAGCGACCAAGAAGGAAAUCAAUCUUUUUGUCAAAGUACAGGCAGAUGGAAAGUCCACAUAAAGUCAAGGGAGGUGAAGAAAACCUAGCAAUGGGGAAACAGGGAGAGAGAAUGCUCAUAUGUCUGGGCAGGUGGAGAAACACAUCCUUAAAUUCAGGACGGGUCCAGGUCAAGAGAGAUUACGGUCUGAAAGGGGCUGCACAUAUCUUCUGAUAAAGAAUGGACAGAAAGGGGGAUGGCUGUACAGCAAUUUAUGACCAAACUGGAGGAAAGCUGACGUGAUUCUCAACAGUGGUUUCUCACUGCUCGGAGAAGUAGGAAUCCAGGGACGUGCAAAAGAGGGCGUGAAGGUGUCAGAGGAGCCAGAAGACGUGGACCAGCCAUUCUGGGGAAAUGAAGGCGUGCCACAGCCAUGAGAAAUGGAGCUGGUAACACCUGUGGACUCAGUGGAAAACUACGCGGCAUUUUACAAACGGAAGGCACAGGCUAUGCGAUUAAAUGUCCAUUAUCACACUGCAAGAAACACGAGACCCAAACGAUUUUAAUCACCCAUGAGUGUAAAAACGUGUUCCGUGCAGAAGCAGUAUGUCUAGAAAUAUUAGGGUACCCGGGGCUUUGAAAUGAAACAGCCUCAGUUCCUUGCGGCAACCUCCUCCAACAUUAGAGGCCACAUGACAACGAAACCACCGCGAGCUCCAUCUGGUCUCCGCCUAGCACGGGCGGCUGCGCACGCCCCGAGGGGCUGUUUUGGAUUGAAUAUGGCCUGCAGUACAGUGCGCACCUGCAUACAGGAAGAUGCUCCACGGCCGCUCUAUCAAACGGAUUUCCAAAACGAGGCUGUGCUUUCAUCUGCUCCUCUGUGUCUGUAUUCGGGCAAUCACUGUCUUCCACAGUCUAGCGUUCUCUAUUCCCCCUGCACACACUGUCCCCCCUGGAUUUACAGUGCUCUGUGUAUGGAGAGGGAAGUACUGUAUAUGCUUGAAAUAUUAUCUUAUUAAGUUGUUUUAGUUCUUAGUUCUCAUACCCAUGGGGUAGAUAGGAAGGAAGCAGUGUUAUUUAAUUAUAAAGUAACUCUCUCCUUAACGAAACACUUUAAAUUAUACCAGGGCAAUGUUUUCACGGGUGGUAUUUAAAUGGAAGUUAGAUACAGCUGUCUCCAGGGCACUCGUACUCUGUCCUCCACCCUUAAUUUGACCUGAAGACAGCCCCCCGAGCUCAGUUAGCUGGCUGGUGAAGGGAAGGGAAACAUGACAACACACCCAUUAAUCGGACUUGGAGAACACAUAUAUCAACGUUUUCUAAAAGCUCUAACGGGGCCUGGAAAAAGGACGAAGGGUUUUUACGCAACAUGAGAAUUAUCUUCCUUUAAGAUGCUUAUUUUUGAAAAGAAUUUUAUUUUAGGGGAAACUUAAACAAAUCGACCAUGUCUACAUCAGAAGAUCGGCACAAAACACCAUUCACCAGAAAAUAGAAAGUCUUAGGCGCCAUGUUACCAAGCCAACGCCCAGAGUAAAUUCCUUAGAGAAAUAUUUCCCCUGUGUCUGCAACCUUUCCUCUUCCUGACAGCCAAAGCAUUCAGCUCCUGCUCUUCUCUCUUCCAUCAUAAAUACUUUGAAUCUUUUUUCCAUCUUGCGGUUUCUUCUCUUCCUCCUUCAAACACUGAAUUUCCCUGGGUUGAUCUCUGUUCCCCGCAGAUGCCUAUCAUCAACUGAUCUUCCUUUCUUUCAGGUCUACAUCAAGCUCAUCCUUGGCAGCUGGCCUUACCAUCUAAUUCUCCAAGAGAAAUCCAGACAGACCUUCUAAUCUAUCCUGAGCACACUCGCGGAGCUGCCCUCCACUGCUGUCAGUAACUCUGCUCUCUCUCAUCUUUCUCUCCACAGUCAAAAAAUAGAGACGGCCCAUCCUGCUCGGUCAGGCCAAACCACCCGGACACCGACCCCCAUCUCCUCCUCCUGAGGGAUACACCAGCCCCUCUGACCAGAACCAGGCUGGUCCAUGACAUAUCAUCAUAAAACGCACCAGGUCAGUAAAAACGAUUUUUCUUUGCUUCCCAUCAGUUACUGAGAUUAUUUUUACAAUGUCUCUUAAACUCUCUCUUCUUUGUAUUCCCAUAUUCUCUCCCUUCUAUGGAGGAAGUCACCUAGACUAGGAUAAUUAUAUAGUAACUGCUCUGCUUGCUUUUGGUUUCUACUGUCAAGUCAAAUAAUGCAACCUUAAUUAUAAUUCCCCAAAUCAACUGCUUUCACAUCAGCCUUAUAUUUAAAAAUCUCCAUAGGCAUCCCUUGCCAGAAAGAUGAGCUCCAAACUCCUCUGCCCACCUUGCCCAUCGGAUGUCCUGCCACAGCCCUGUGGGGUUCCCACUGCAGACCCUGAGAAGACUCAGGCCAUGUCCUCUCAUCCUUUUAUCCACCUUCUCUCCUUUUCUUCCUGAAAGGCCCAUCUCAAGUCCACUUUUGUCCAAAGGACUUUCUAAUCAAUCUUGUUGGACAUGUUUCCAAAUUUGACAAUUAUUGGCAGACGAAGCCUUACAUUGUCACUGAUAUUUUUGGGCACCAAUCCUAUUCUCCCUCUAAGGCAUGGAUACUCUAUUCUUAUCACAAAGGUUGGUGCCUUUUCCGCAGUAACUCUUUUUGUUUUUGAAGAAAAUGCUGAUGAGGUGUUGUCAUCUAUCCAGGCUCAGGCUGUUAUCUUCCACAGGUACCUCUGUUUCACGUGUUCUAUCUUAAACACCAUCCCUGUUGAAACUGAACACAACCCCUUUACUUUCCAUCAGCAGCUUCUUAAUGAUUUUCAAAGCCACCUCCAUACUCUCAUGGCCCAAAGCCUACUGGAGUCUUUGAAAUUAAUUUGCUUCCAAUUUCUCCCAUCACUAAAAUAUUUUGCAAGUCUAUGCCAGAUUUACUCAGUAAAAAAUGAGUUUUAUCAAUCAAAAGCAAUUAAUGUGUAUAAUGUAUGUGCCUGCACUCCUGGAGCAAGAAAUUAAAUAUUGCCUCUUGAACUUAACUGCCACAGCUCAGUUUGACACUCAAGAGUGUUCAUCAAUUUGACACAUGUUCUCAUCUCAAAUAUUUCUCUUUAUUUAGUCUAUAUAUUUAAGAGACUUGUUAAUGUACGUCUUUAUAUUUCAAGAGUGUUCUACCGCAACUGAAAAGGCAUUACCUUUUUUGAGCUAAGCCAAUUCCCAUAAUCUCUUAACAAGUUAACUAAUUCCAUAUCCCAAUUUUGAUGUCUUGUAAUACUUAUAAUGCCUUAUCUGGCAAUUUGUUUACAUACUACUUAUAAAUCACUUCAAAUUUUCAUGCACAAAUUUUUAACCAAUGAAAUCAUAGAUUCAUGAAAAGCUAGAACUUUUGUUAUAAAUGUCUUGUAAUUUCUACAGGAUCUGGCAUGGGCUCAUGUGGAAUGAAUAGCCAGCUAAUGAUAAUUCAAUUAAACUGACAGAAUUACAGGAAAUAUAUAAUUAGUACCCAGUUAUUCAUAUGACUACAUCGCAUCUUCAGGGUGCUGUAUGUUACACAGACAGAGGAUUUAGAAUGGUGUCACCCACAGAGUCUGUGCUCAGAAAAUAAUCACAUCUUCUCAACAAUUAAAAACAUUGUAAUAUGUCCUCUUCCAUUAUGUUCUCUCUACAUAUGAAGGGGAUUUUCUAGCAGCGAAUGGACUCUAAUUUUGACAAUGGCUACAAACAGAUGGGGGAAUGAGGAUAGGAUUGGAUUGUGUGUUCUGUUUUUCUUUUAAACCAUCAGCUUUUCUUAUUUCUCUACAGGUUGUAUUUUGAAUUAUUUGAGUGCAAGAUGCUUCCUUGAUAUGGCGGGAAAUUUAAUGUCUUUUGGUUAUGUAAAUGUGUUAUAAUACCUAGGAGACAACCAUUUUGCAUCAUAAUCUAUUUUUAAACAGUUUCUUCCUUCCUCCAUGAACUUACAACUCUGCAGUUUUAUUUUAUUUUAUUUUACUUAACUACAGGCUGGGCUGUGACUGGGCAAAAGGGAGCCGAGGUGGAAACAUGUUUUCCUCUGCUUGGCCUUGGCGUAAGAAGGGCCGUGGGGCCGGGAAUGGGGGAGGUGGGCAUAAACUGCUUGGGAGUGACCUGGGUGCAGAGAGUCAUCGAGAGGAGAUAAAAUGGCCUAUGAAACACAGUAGAAGACAAAGCAAUGAGUGCUCAGCAGGACAAGUCUUGUCUUAUGGAGCCUGAGAGCAGUUCUAUCUAGAUCUGAGUCGUGGUCAUUGUUGCCUGGGUCUGGCAUUUUCCAUAAGUACUGUUAGUUAGUAGAGCUUGGACUUCGCUCUGCUCUGAGAGACAGGCUUGGAGGAGGUGCAGUUCUGGUGGAGGAACAGCAUCCUGGGAGAGGGGAGCUGUGCUUUCUUUUGAGGAGCCAAAGACAACUCCUAGAGGAUGAGGACAACAGUCUCAGCAACCCAGGGCAGACUGGAGGGAGAGGUGAGAGCUUGCUGGGACUCCCAGAAAUACCUGGGAAGGGAAUUUGGGAAGGACAAGAUUCCUGCAGGCUGAGAUGUAGACAACGGUUGUUGAGGCAAGGCAGAAGUCCGCAACAUUUCAGUGAAGUGCUUUACAACUGCACAGUUUUCCUGGCCUAUGGGAUACACAUCUUCCACCAACCUGCACCUCCCCUCCUCAGCCAGCACCUCAACCCCACCCCUGCACUGGUCGAUGGGAGGUUUUGAAACACAGCAAGAGAGGUUGUUAAAAAUAAGGCAGAAGUGAAUGGAAGUCUUUGCAGAAUAAAGAAAUUAUCGUUAAAUGCCAGAAAGAAAAAAAAAAUGUGUGAAUAAAAUUGUAAGCAAAGAUAAAACUACAAAUUAAUUGAGCAUUUUCUUUUUAUAUUUUGCUUCAGUGCAAAUACACAGAAGAACUACAUUUGACAACAUGGAAAAAUAAGGGCUAAUCUAUUCAAAUUUAGGGAUUCAUUUAUUCACGGGCUCUAAACAACGGGAAUAGAAAAACACUGUUCUGAGGCAGUCAAUACCAUGUUUGCCCUAUUUUGAUUGACCCUCUUCCACAAAUUCAUCUUCUACUCCAGUCACAUAGAUUCAAAGUGUGUGAUCAACAUCAGGUAGUUUAGAAUCAUUCAAAUCUUUCAAAACUACUCAGUGAUCACAAGAGGACUCACUGUUUAACAAAAGACCCUUAACAUAAAAUAUUCCAAAACUGGCUACUUCUUUUUAGAGCAAUAGUUCUUGUUCCUUCCACAAAAUAUGCAGAUACUGAUGUUUGUGGCAGCAAUAUUAACUGUGGAAUUUUAAUAAAACGGGUUUCAUGAUAUAGCUGCUAAAACUUUAAUGUAAUUUUUUUUCAAUUAUCCACUAUGGUCACAAAAUGGAUGCUCUUUAAUCAAGUAUUCUGGUUAGCAUAGAGAUAUUGCACGUGGCUUACCAAUUAUCCAAGAAUUAGAAUACACUAAAAUAGUUAACUCCUCAAUUAUUAUAAAUAAUUUAACUUUCCAUUGGUUCAGAUUGCGCUCUGGAGCUUGUGUCAUUGUAGCAUCGUACGUGUCCACCAUGUCUGUGUGGAUGUGUAGAAAUGCUGCCGAAAAGCCCAGGCACAGAGGGCUCUGCUCUGUUUGACUAUUUCGACUUAUCCAUCAGCAAUGACACCCUUGAUUUAGAAUGCCAGACUCCUCUUUUAUGUAUUCUGCAACUGUGCCAUGGUUAUUGCUGCAAAAAUGUUAGAAUAGGUAAUCGUAGUGAUUAAACCAUGGUGAUUUAUGAAAUUUAAUAACUUUUUUCCUGACAGCCAGUGUUAUUGGACAGAUUCACACUGACAUAAAACUUAAUCAUGAUGUAGUUAUUUGAAACCACUUUUAUUCAACAUUACAAUAUGGGGCUAAUUUACAUGUGAUAUUGCCAAUGAAAUACUAAUAGUGCUAAUGACCAUUUUUGCUAAAUGGUAAUAUGAAGGCUGUGGGCAUUUUGUUGCCAAGAAAACUCUCAACUAGAUAAUUCUGAUUAUUUCUAGGUUUCAUAAUCUUCCCUAAACUAUUCAAAGAUUCUUCUAUCUUACACUUUCAUAUCAACCUUCUUGCCUAGUCUAUCAUCACUGCCAAAUUUGCAAAGGCGAUUGGCUCAAAUGAUUCCACUGAUAGUACUUAGAUGAAUUACACUAAAGUAUAUGGAAAUGGUACAUUCAGUUUCUGAGUCAAUUCUAGGAGAUUCCUUCUGUUGCUUGAGAAUGUAUUCUAUAGGUUCAAAUGGAUAAAAAUAAUACUUGAUUAAAAAGCACAUCAUCUGACUACAGAUUGCAAUAAAGAAUUCUGAGUCAAUUGGUCCAUUUCCACAAGCUCUGCCAUGAAUAGGAAUGUUAUAUAAAUGUUUGCCUUGAGUGAUUUCACUCCUGCUGCUGCUCACCACACAUGCAUGGCUGAUUCACUGCUCUCUGAGAAGCAAGGCAGAGGGUCACAUACACGUGAGCCUAUUUUUCUGUCCACAAAGCCAGAGUCUUCAUUCAGAUAGGCUAUUUUUACAUCAAAAGCAUAUUUUUCACAAAUACAUAUUUAUACAUAAAUAAAUCCACUCAUUACAUGUGAUUGUAUAAUUUAAUUCACUGAAGUCAAUUUCAUUUCCUAUUUCCAAAGGGGCUCACUGCCUCUGGUCACCUGAACCCCACCUAAGCCAUUGCUAGCAUGGGCUGCCUUAAGGUAGCGACCUAUGGAAGCUGUAAGGUGGCUCUAAACCUGCUGCUUUUAUGACCAAUGGGUUCCGUCCAAAAGACACAACACUCAAUACCAGAGCAAAUUCAACAAUCCGCAAGGGAAAACGAAUGGACUACGGGACUAAGAACAUACAAGGAAGUAUUAGAGGAUGUGAACAUCGAAUUAUCUUCAAAAAGUAUUAAAUAAAAUUAAAAUGUUAGUUUAAAAGGACUAGAGAGUCAAAAAAAUUACUAAAUAAAUGAAUGCUUUCAGAGAGUCUGGAAAAACCCAUAUUAGAAAAAAAAUAAAUAAAAGAGAGAAAGCCCAAGGGUAAAGAACAAAACGCUUUGCUAGAAAUGGGGAGUGAAAAAGGAGAACAGUUUUACAGCCCAAUAAAGAGGAUGCUAAAGGGCCACUGAAAAAACAUUCUUGUCACAGGGGACUGUGCUGAGCUCUAUUAAGACACGAGAAAUAGGAUUCUAAUUACAAUGUAGUCGUAUGUACUAUUAAAACCCAAUUUAUUUGAUUAUAUAAAAAUUAUAAGCAUUUCUAUAGUGAGAUUCUUGCUAAACAAAGUUUCAGAAAGGAUUCUCAUACAUCAGUAAGAAGACAGCAACAAUCAUAAUAAAAAGGGAGAAGUUGGCUAAUGACAUGAACAAGAGGUAUCCAAAAAAAUACAGAUCACUAAUAAAGAUAGGCAACGAUUGUCAUUUCACUAGUAAUCAAAGUACAUUGAAAUAGUAACACGAUACAUUAAAAAUUAUGCUAGUAAAUAUUUUUGGUUUUAUAUAAAUUAUUUAAAUUGAUAUUAUCCAGUGUUGGCAAGGCUAUACUAGAAGGGACAUUCUCAAGUUUUAGGGAGGCUAAUUUACAAUACUGGUUUGUAAAAAUAGAAAAAAGGUAAAUAUUCAUAUCUGUGAUCUAGAAUUCCACUUAUAGGAAUGCAUCUGUGAGAAAAUUUGUACAGAGUUGUUCAUUGCAGCAGUUUCUACAAAUAAAUGUGCCCAUCAACAGAAGAAUGGCAAAGGGCGACUGGCAAAUGCUAAGAUGUCAAUAACUGUAGCGUUAUCAUCAUCAUCAGCAUCAUACUUACAAACUGUAACAAACAGACACAGAAGGAGAGUUGUUAUAUCAUGAAGUGAAAAAAGCCAGCAGAGGUCCCAAAUAAAUAAUAAGAUCUCACGGAGGAGAAACAGUAACUAGAUGUGUACACACACACCAUGUAUAUAUAUUUAUAGGUAUGUUCUAAAUUCAUUUCUAAAUAUGUAUCAAUAGACAAAUACAUAGAUAUAAAGAUGUACACAUAAAUAUAUAUAAAUGACAUUUAUGCAAUGCACAAAAAUCUUGUGGAAAAGUUUUUUUAUUGUGAUUAAGAAACAUAAAAUUUUACUCAAUUGUUUUUAAGUGCACAAUUCAUUAGUGUUAAGUGUAUCCACAUCUUUGUGAAACAUCUCUAGAACUUUUUCAUCUUGCAAAUCUGAAACUCUAUACCAAUUAAAGAACCACUGUUUCCCGCUGUCAUCUUUACCAAGUCACCUUCCAGAGAAUGAACUUAUUUCUGAGAGGGAAAGGAUAGACAGUGUUUUCAUUUUUCUCUUUCCUCUCUGUCAGAGUCAAGUGCCAGAGGAAGCACAACAGCUGCCACACUAACUUUUAAUGCAGAUCUUCUGUCACUGGAAAGUCUCGAAUCUUCAUUUAGAUACUUAUGUUGAGACACAAUACACAAACAGUGUGCCUAAUUAGAGCUUGGGGGAUCUACAGUGUACGCGAAUUUGAAACUAUUUUACAUCAUGAAGAAGCUACUUGUUAGCAAUGAUUUGUGAUAAAACUGGGGGAAAAAUAACACAAGAAAUUUAUUUUCUAGGAUUUCUCCAAAAGUCAGUUGCAAAGCAAUAGUAGUCAGUGAAAGAAAUCACUAACUCAUAAUUCUUAUAAUUCUUAUUUCUAAUCCUUUUAAACUGAUGAUUAAAAGAAAUCACUGAGGCUGGCCUGGUGGUGCACUGGUUAAGUUCAUACAUUCCGUUUAGGCGGCCCUGGCUUCACUGGUUC